rnacentral:pre_miRNA from 1 species
CUCUGCAUUGCUCUCAAACCUCCUCCCUCUUCCUUGUCCUAGCAUAGAUCCCAGUCCCUUCUUCCUUGUCUUGAUGCACGACCCAAUCCUCUCCUCUUCUUCUUUAUCCCGUCAUACCCAUACUAAGACAAGAAAGAGUUGGAAGAGAGAAUUGGGACUUGUGCUGGGACAAGGAAGAAAGGAACUACUACUUGCACCAAGACAAGGAAAAGGAGGAGGA